rnacentral:rRNA from 1 species
UACGUAGGGUGCGAGCGUUAAUCGGAAUUACUGGGCGUAAAGCGUGCGCAGGCGGUUCGUUGUGUCGGUGGUGAAAGCCCCGGGCUUAACCUGGGAAUGGCCAUGGAAACUGGCGAACUGGAGUGUGGCAGAGGGGGGUGGAAUUCCGCGUGUAGCGGUGAAAUGCGCAGAUAUCAGGAAGAACACCUAUGGCGAAGGCAGCUCUCUGGGACGGUACUGACGCUGAGACGCGAAAGCGUGGGGAGCGAACAGG